GCGGGCUGCAGUCAGGGGCACUUGAAUGAGCUCGAGUUGAAAAUGUAUAUUGCUUACAGCACCUGUCCCGUCAGCCGACCAAUGGUUGAGCGAUGCUGAGCAGAGCUGAGCAGCCUUCAGCCAAUGGUUGAGCAAUGCUGAGCAGAGCUGAGCGCCCAACAGACCAAUCAUUGAGCGUGGAUUGGAAUACUAAUUUCUUCUCUUCACGAUCAAGGCGGCCAUGCCACUAGUUCGGUGAAGCUGUCAACGGAGGAUUCACUCAGAUGGAACAUGCCUACACAUCAGUGCACCGUGUGCGACCAGACAUUCGGUGAAAAGUCCAACCUGGCGAGGCAUCUGAAGAUCCAUGCCAUCGCCAGGGAGACAUUUAGCUGUGUCGUCUGCGGGAAGAACUUGGCCACUAAACCAUCGCUGGUCAGCCAUCAACGGCUACACCAGUACCCCAACAUAAUUUUGUACCGGCAAGGAGAGGCCAGGCUGUAUUGUACAGAGGCAGCAAGGUCUGUGGCAGAGGCCCGCAGCAGCACUGUUGUUGACCCUAAAUGGCUGGAUCUCAAGACAGCAGAGACGGCUGACAAGAGGUCGGGGGGUGAGCUGUGGAAAGGUCAGCUGGUCAUCACGUUUGGGUGCCACCUGAAGGUCAGACCUUCAGGUGGCUUGUGGAGAAUGAUGUCGGCGGGCUGGUGUGGCUGCUGUUCCAGUACUGCCAGCAGGGAGAGCAGAGCGAGCUGCUGAAGUGGCAGAAGGAGCGACUGCUCCUUCUGCCACAAGGUGACUCCUCACCUGAAAGUGCUGUCGGACGCACCGUUCCCGGAGGCUCCUGCGCUGCCAACAUCCCUCCCUCCGCCAGACCGGCCUCAGGUCCAGUACCGGCACAUCCAUCACGAAGCUGGAAAGAGACGUGGUGAGAAGCGGAGAUUAUUUGUUGAUGAGCCACAGCCUGUGACUCCCGCGAACCGGCCAGUUCAGCCCACUGGGUUUGUCGUCCUCCACCCGGCCGAAGCCUGCUGCGCCCACCCCCAUUCUGCCGAGGCCUCCUGCGCCCACCCACCUCCAGCCGAGGCCACCUGCUGCAUUGACCUACGGCCCACCCCCUGUGUCGGCAGCACCCAUACUGCUGGUCCUCCCCGCACAGGCCCCCUCCGUCCUGUUUCGUGGGCCAUCCUGCAGCCAGAGCUUUGUCCCUCCUGCACCAACAGUGAAGGCAUUCAUGCCUAACAAGUCCUCAAGGCCAUGUGGGGCUUGCCACGUGCCAAACUGUGGUGGACAGCGGAAGAGGUACACCCCUUCCAAGGAGAAAGUGACUGGAAGCAUGCAGAAAAUGUUUUCCUACUGUCAAUCCACUAGGAUGUCCACUACCCCUGGCUUCGAGAAUGUGGUGUAUGACAACUUUGAACACUUUAAGGGUGUCGUGGAUGCGGAGUUGGAAAGGAGGACUGUGUAAAGACCUGUAAAUAUGUGUGUGUGGAUAACUUGCCUCUGUGAUGCCACUGUUCUCGUGCCAUCUGUAGGAGAGAGAAAGAGGCUUGUUUGUGUGUGUUUGUCUCUGUCUUUGUGUGUGUUUUUAAAGUGCUUCAGCAAGCACUAUCUAUUUAUUUAUCGUUCAAAAAAAUGCACUUUGCAGUUUUACUUGAAGUUCUUUUGUUUGUUUUUUAUUUAUUAUUAUUUAUAUUGCUGUUAAAAUUUACUUUGUAGUAUCCAUUCUGUUCUAUGUUCAAUAUCGAGGCCAAUCUUUUAAACCAUAAUCAGUUCCAAUCUAACACAAUCAGUUUACAUACCCUUUAGUGGUUGUUCAUGUUCAGAUAAUUGUUUUUGUCAUGCAUGUUGUUUGUCUUUGUCAGCUUCAUGUCUUUGUGAUGUUUGUAUGUAUUUGUCUGCUUCAGUUUUAACAAGUUUGCUAAAGAAAACACAAAAAAACACAAAAGGGAGGAACAGCUUGAGCCUUUAUUUGUGGAUUGGUCACCUGAGUCUUUGGAUAAUCAUGUUCAUUAUUGCACUUUAGCCUGUAAAAGCCAAUUGUUGAUUUGUAUCUUAAGUACAAGUGUGUGUGUGUGUGUGUGUGUGUUCUUUAAUUGUUGAGUGUUUUUGAUUAUUAUUAAUGUUAUUUAUAUGUGCCUGUACUUGUGAGGUAUGUAUGUCUGUCAGCUCCAUGUUUAACUAAAUGUUUGCAAAUGGUGGUAAAUGUUUGUCUCUCGUCUUAUGCUCUCGUGUUCUCGCCUGUAGAUCUGUACCUUGUCGUGGUGGGCGGGCUUUUAACUAAACAGAUCUUGUUUACUUGUGUUUAUAUGCAUUGCCUUUUCAAUGAAAACCAUUCUGGUUGAAAAAUAAAAGUUGUAAAAGUAUUUGAGUGUGUGCUUGGGUUCCACAAGGGUUGGGGUAUUGGAAAGAAAAAACACACCAAAGCAAUUAGAAGUCCUUGUGUCUUCACUUCCGCAACCAGAGGUGUGAAUACACCCCUACUGUGCUGGCUGCACUCCCUGUGUGGUCAAAACAAUGAGUUCUGUGAAUGGCUCUGGGCCCCGUUUCCCGAUAACGAUGGAUCUUCGCUCGUACGAUCAUUCUCCCGAUGGAUCUUGCGAUCCAUCGAUAAUUUCUUUGGAGCGUUUCCCGAAACUCCUCUUAACGUGAACGCGCAUUCGCUGCACUCACGACGUCGUAGGAUUGUAACUGUCUACUGACACGGUGCUGAAAUGGGCUCCGUAGGAGGGGGAGACGCAGGAAUGUCGCAGGAAAAUUGUGUUAAAAAGGGUUAAAAUAUAUCCCCAUCAAGGACAACAGCAGAGUAGCCUACGAAAAAAAAUAGACUGCAAUUAUAUGAAUGCUAAAGACAUUAAAACACAAUUGAUUAGGCUGAAACCGACAUAUAUCAGUCCUAAUCCUGAAUGCACUGUGCGUUUCACGGCAUUUUCCCCCCUGAAAUAAUUCCAUAUGACAAAAAAUUAAAAAUAGCUUGUGUGACAACUACAUUUAUCUUAAUGGGCUGAUUUCUGAAACAUGCUUUGCGCAGCAAAGAGAGCCGACUUAAUCUGAUUCCGCAUAAGGGUUUCCUUGAUUGAUAAUUUGAUUGGCUAUAAAAGCCCCUCCGGAAAUAGGGUAAGGUAUGUAUUGAUGAGGAAUACAACGAAGCCCACCGUCUGGCCCGGUGCAUCGUUGAGCGCACGAUCGGGAGGUGGAAGUUGCGCUUUAGAUGCCUUUACAGGUCAGGCGGAGGGCUCCAGUUUUCGCCGGCCAAGUCAUGCGCCGUGAUAUGUGUGACGGCUAUGUUGCACAACAUUGCAGCUAAGGCUGGGGUGGCAUUGCUUGAACCGGAGGACAUUGAAGACGAUGAAGAUCGGUGUGAGGACGGCCUCCCUCAUAACUACGCGGCUGGUUUUCAUGCGCGUCGAAGAGUGAUUGAGACUUUUUUUUAACCCCCUCCACCCUCCCACAUGUCACUAAACAUUCCCGUCA